rnacentral:lncRNA from 1 species
UCUCCAGGGUGUGGGUGAUCUUCUGGAUAAGCUGGUGUUCCCAUCAUGGAACUACAGACACAUCUGGCCCAGGACACAGAGGAGCUGAAGGAGGAGAAUGGGAACAGCUGGAGGAGCCAUAAACAGCAUGCCAGCAAGUGAUGCCAACAUCCCAGUCUCCCAGCCUAGAGGAAUCUUCGUUUCUGUCUUUCCAGAACCCUUUCUCCCCUUCAUCAGAUACCAAAGCUCCUUUUCCCUUUGGGGAGCACAUUCCAUGUGGCACAUGCCCCUCCCGCAGCCCAGAGUCCUCCAUGCACCUGGCCAUGGUGAUUCUCAGAAAUGGGCACAAGACUAAGCCAGCCAAUUGGAGUCCUUCCUGGAAUUUUCUCACCAAAGUUUGCGGGAAAAAACAGGGUCCUUUCUGCUGGGAGGUGAGAGUCUGGGACUGCCAGCAACCAUUGAUUCCAUGAUGUGGAGAAAGCCUGUCUGAAGAAUAAAGUCAAGCAGAAAGAGAAAGAGAAAGACCGUGCCCUGGAUCCAGCUGUUCCUAAAGCCAGCUGCAACCCUGAACUUCCCAGGUACACUCAUAAAGACAAGCUCUCUUUUACUUGAGCUGAAUUGAGUUGGGUUCUGUCACUCAAAAAUGAAAGACUCUAGAGUAAU